rnacentral:misc_RNA from 1 species
GAUGAAGAACGCAGCGAAAUGCGAUAAGUAGUGUGAAUUGCAGAAUUCAGUGAAUCAUCGAAUCUUUGAACGCACCUUGCACCCUUUGGCAUUCCGAAGGGUAUGCUCGUUUGAGUGUCAUUGUACUCUCACUCUCCCGAUGCUUUUGGAUCGGGAGUGGUGGACUUGGGUGUUGCUGCUUUGCUGUGGCUCGCCUCAAAUGGAGUAGUGCAACUCUUGGUUGGACAUAGUACGGCGUGAUAAGUGUCUUCGCCGGCGCCUCAUUAUAGAGGGUGGCCGAUCGGGAGCUCUGUGCUUCAAACCGUCUUCGGACAACAUCUGACAACUUGACCUCAAAUCGAGUAGGACUACCCGCUGAACUUAAGCAUAUCAAUAAGCGGAGGA